GUAAAAGAGGGUGCCGCUGCCAUCUGUCUCUUCGUGUUAUUUGAACUUCGAAGAACACAAAGCUUUCAACACACAACCGCGGAAAUUGCUUUGAUGAACAUCCCUGAAUUUCUCCCCAUUUAAGGAAACUAAAUCAAUCAGAGAUCAGAAACAGGAAAUUAAGAUCAGUCAGAAAUGGUCAAGGCUAAAGUCUGCCUGGAUGUGGGAUUGCCUACAGAGGAUAAUCGCACCCAUAGGAGUGCACGGGGAGGUUUUAAGGUUUAUACGGACAAAAAUAAGAUUAAAGCUGAUCCCAGUUGCAAGAAACCUGUAACAAUAACAAAGGAGACUUCAACAGAUGGUACGAUUCAACCAAAGGGAGGCCUGCGACGAUCAGAGAAGAAUAUAGAGAAAUUUGAAAUCUCUGGGGCCAAAAGCACGAGAAGAAGAGCACUUGCUGACAUGAGUAAUGUCCGAGGCAACUCUACUAGGCAAAUACUGCAAGAUAGCUCCAAGCAUAAGGUUUCAACUGGGACUAGAAUUAGUUCUGCUGGCAUCUAUAUCUUAUCAAGGAAAUCUUCGGGAAAAACGAAGAAUGCAGGGGAAGCCUUUGGUGACUUGCAUGCUUCACAAAAAGGGCGUGUUAAAGAUUCGAAAGGUUGUUCAAUCAAUGAAAGAAACAAAACAGAUGGUCCCUGUUGUGCCAAUACUGUGAAUGCCAGGAGAUCUUUACCAAUGCUUAAGAGGAUGAACCAGGCAAAUGUUUCGAACGCAAAGGAAGUUGCUGAGAAGCCCGAAAAGACCAAUAAAUCUCAAGCAUGUUUUACUAAAUCUGGAAAGAAAGCAUCAGUCCAAACAAAAAAUAUCAGAACUCAGCUAUGGAAUCGCGCAAGUGAUGGUUUCAUUAUAACGGGUCAAGCCAAAGUGGACUCAAGUGCAUUGUUGAAAAAGUCUAGUAAGCCCAUUGCAAGGAUGAAGAAGGCUUCUGGUACUCAAGAGGCAUUAAAACCCAAAUGUGCACCAGUUGCAAUCAAAUCAAUUUCUAGUACUGCAUCAUCAUCCAAGAUUGUGGAUCCUUCAGCGUCUCUUUGUGAGGAAAUAACUAAUGCGUCCAUUCAAGGGAAGGAUACAUCUGAACCUACUUGUAAUCCAAGUACAAGUACAGAUUUAACUGUCAAGAGAAAAGUUGGUCGUAGAAGAUCGUAUACAUCCUUUUUGGUUGCUGGAGCAAAGUUGCUGGAUAAAUGUGCUGUUGACACAGAAAUAGCUAACCUGCCUAGUAUUGAUAAUGACUACGACCAAAUGGAGGUUGCUGAAUAUGUUGAGGAGAUAUACGAUUACUAUUGGGUUACAGAGGCACAAAGUUCAUCGCUUUCAAACUACUUAUCAGUACAAAAAGAAAUUGCCCCCCUUAUGCGUGGCAUUUUGAUCAACUGGUUGAUUGAAGUACACUUCAAAUUUGACUUGAUGCCUGAAACACUAUUUCUCUCUGUUACAUUGUUUGAUCGGUAUCUCUCCCUAGUCAAAAUCAAGAAGAAUGAGAUGCAGCUGGUUGGUCUUACUGCACUGUUAUUGGCUUCAAAAUACGAAGAUUUCUGGCAUCCUAGGGUUAAAGAUCUACUUAGCAUUUCAGCUGAGUCCUACUCAAGGGAGCAAAUGCUACAAAUGGAAGCACUCAUUUUGAAGAAGUUGAAGUUUCGCUUGAACGUGCCUACUACAUAUGUUUUUAUGUUAAGAUUCCUCAAGGCUGCUCAGUCUGCUAAUACUCAGCUUGAACACUUGUCAUUUUACUUAAUUGAGCUGGCCUUGGUUGAAUAUGAAGCUCUGAGUUUUAGGCCGUCGUUAUUAUGUGCAUCGGCUUUAUAUGUUGCACGGUGUACGCUGCGAAUGAGUCCAAGCUGGACCAAACUACUAAACAAACAUACACGCUACGAAACGUCCCAAAUAAGAGAAUGUGCUGAGAUGAUCUUGAAAUUUCACCAAUCUGCUCAAUUGGGACAGCUGAAAGUCACGUAUGAGAAGUAUAUGAAGCCUAAUUUUAACGGUGUAGCAGCCAUAAAGCCACUCGACAAGCUUCCUCUUUGAUUUUGUUCUCACCUUACUUUGUCGUGUAGAUUAGUUCAUUUGAUGUUACUUGGAAGCGAAUUUGUUUGUUAGAUCUAGUCAGAGUCAUAAAGGUCACGACGCACAAGUUUUGGUUGCAUGGAAUCUGUGUUCUCCGGUUGUGUCAAUCGCAAUGGAAUGACUCUCACCAUUCACUGUACAGCUUAUAGUUUUUUUGGAUACUUGUUCCUUCUUCGUAUGGGAUGUUUGCAUUACAGUUUUAAACUCAGACAACACUUGAGUUCAUAAUGUAGACCACUCUAGUUUUUUCGAGGAAACCAUGAGUGUGAAGGGUUUCACCCAAUUCCUCGAGAUAGUUCGGAAUUAAGAUGAUGACCGACUUGAACUCUAUGUAGAACAACAAUGUACUAUGACAUGAUACUGGCAUAGAACUUAUGACUUUGAUUCUCCACUUCAGAUAUUUAGAAAACAAAAGUUUAUAUGGGUAGCUUUUAUCAA